UCUUUGAUGGACUUGUGAGUGAGCCAAUGGGUGAAUUUUAUGAGGUACUGAACUGACCAAUCAGCUGCCAGCUAGGCUCCGUUACAGUUACGCCUCUAGUUUUGUGUCACUGCACGUUCUUUUGGCGCUUGCAUUUGAGCAUAGAAGGCUGCGUUAUCUGCUUGAGUGUAAACGAAAGCUGUGCCUGAAUCCACUGUUAUCACGGAGCUAAAAGCAGUGAAUUCCGUUAAAAUGGUCAGGUUUUGGUAAAGAGUUGGAAACAUCGUGCAGAGAUCCUUUCCACGGAGUGAUACAGAUCCACACGUUCCAGACGUUCUCCCAGAGAUUCAUAGAUUCCCAGUCCGGGUGGCUGGGUGGCGAGCCAACCGUGUUUGUGACUCUGACUUUAGACGAACUGCCUGGAUCAUCCUCUUCAUCUUCGUUGUGGUAGGACAAAAACUAACUCAGAGUUAAAAAAAGGGCCCCAACGGUGAAACUGAACUUUUGUCAACCAAGGCAAAACGAACCGAGGACGAACUGAGCUCAACGAUUCUGAUACGAGAGGGUUUUCUUUU